rnacentral:rRNA from 1 species
GACGAACGCUGGCGGCGUGCUUAACACAUGCAAGUCGAACGGAAAGGCCCUGCUUUUGUGGGGUGCUCGAGUGGCGAACGGGUGAGUAACACGUGAGUAACCUGCCCUUGACUUUUGGAUAACUUCAGGAAACUGGGGCUAAUACCGGAUAGGAGCUCCUGCUGCAUGGUGGGGGUUGGAAAGUUUCGGCGGUUGGGGAUGGACUCGCGGCUUAUCAGCUUGUUGGUGGGGUAGUGGCUUACCAAGGCUUUGACGGGUAGCCGGCCUGAGAGGGUGACCGGCCACAUUGGGACUGAGAUACGGCCCAGACUCCUACGGGAGGCAGCAGUGGGGAAUAUUGCACAAUGGGCGGAAGCCUGAUGCAGCAACGCCGCGUGCGGGAUGACGGCCUUCGGGUUGUAAACCGCGUUCGCCUGUGACGAAGCGUGAGUGACGGUAAUGGGUAAAGAAGCACCGGCUAACUACGUG